AACUUGGUCAUUUAGAGGAAGUAAAAGUCGUAACAAGGUUUCCGUAGGUGAACCUGCGGAAGGAUCAUUAAAGAAUAACUUUGGGGGAUGCGCUGGCUUUGCAAGUGCGCUCCUUCAUUAUUCAAUCCAAACACCUGUGCACCCUAAUAUGGAGGUGGUUACCAAGAAAUUGGUGUACGCCUCUGUAUUUUAUUACUAUACCCUAUGAUUUGAAGUAUUGUAGAAUGACAAGUUGUAUAAACCUAAUACAACCAUCAGCAACGGAUCUCUUGGCAUCCCACUCGAUGAAGAACGUAGCGAAUUGCGAUAAGUAAUGUGACUUGCAGAACACAGUGAAUCAUCGAAUCUUUGAACGCACCUUGCACCCUCUAGUAUUCUGGAGGGUAUGCCCGGUUGAGUGUCUUGAAAUUCUCAAAUCAUCAAGUUUUUAUUAACUUGUGUGAUAUUGGAUUUGGGUGUUAUUGUUGGAACUUGUUUUCAACUCACCCUAAAAUUAUUAGCUGGACUUACUAUUUGAUGUCUACCUCUGGCGUGAUAAGUUUGAUCGUCGUUGGUUAGGUCAGCCUUUGUAGUCUGCUUCUAAUCGUCUUAGGACAAAUUACUUGACAUUUACACCUCAACUCGGGUAGGACUACGCCCUGAACUUAAGCAUAUCAAUAAGGGCAGGAAAAGAAACUAACAAGGAUUCCCCUAGUAAC
rnacentral:rRNA from 1 species